rnacentral:snoRNA from 1 species
CCGCAUGUUUUAUCCAAGAGCUGUGGCUCUGUGCAGUAGCUGCAGGUCUCCAACAACAUGCGAGAGCAACGGGAAGGUCUUUGACUGCUGGGCCCCUUUUGCCUCUUGCUGUCACUCGCCCCUCCUAUAUGU